ensembl:lncRNA
AGAAGCUUGAGAAGAAAAUACAGAGAGCCACAGAAAGGGGUGGGCACAAUAAGGGGGGGUUACCAUAUUGGACAUUGGGAGUUAAUGCAAGCAGGAGAUGCAAAUGAGAUAAAGAGUGGUUGUCAUGGUGACCUGUUGCGCAGCGAUGGUUUUCUGACAACCUGACUGCAGUUGUGACAUGGCCGCGGUCAAACAGGCAGCGUCGUUAUGAGUCAAGAGACAAGCGAUGUUCAGGAAGCCUCGUUCAUGAAGAUCCCCAUCAGACCCACAGUGCACCGCGGUGGCACCCCCCAGCCUCGGAGUAGCGUUGUCAGUUCCAGAGGCGCGUCAACGCUAGAGAGACACACAGGUAGGAAGCUGCUGCAAAGCCUGACUCUUUUAAUAGGCAACUUUGAAAUGAUCAAUGCGAGCAAGGUGUGAUGGCUGUCGGGGCUCUUGCCUGAAAAAAAAGAAAGAAAGGAGGGGACAUUUCCUCGGCAGAGUGAGAGUUCACGUCAGUCAGCCAGCGUGGUUCACGGAAGGCCGGGAAAUAGCAGAGCGCUGAGGCCAUAGUGUUGAGCUAAGGCCAGGAAGGAACUGCGAAAAUACCACGACGGAGGGAGGGAUAGUGGGCCUAGGGGGAAGAAGAAGAAUAAGGAAGAUGAGAAGGAAUUUAUGGAUGGAAAAGACACAGUCAGAGGGGUUGGCAGCGUCUGGAUAUAUUUUUGUUCUGUGGAAGUAGGUUUAGGGCAGAUAAGGACGCAAGACAUAUUUUUCGAUUCCCCCUUAACCGAGCUGUGCUCUCUCGGAGAGAGGUUGUGAGCAGUGGGGUCGAUGUACUUACACGCUCACACACAUGCCUGUGUACGCACACACACACACACACACACACACACACACACACACACACACACACUCAUACACUCAGUUCCACACACAUCACGCACACUUCCUGUUCUCCAACAGUCAACGUUUAUCUGCGCGCCCGCCCACAGGUUUCGAAAACACAAUUAGCUCGUCACACACCAAGUAACAGUUUUUAAAACCACAACACCCAAGUUCCUUUCUGCUCUACACUAAACCCCGGUGCACACUUCUAUUAAGAAACCCCUGCUAACCAUUGCAUAAAAAAAAGGAUUAUACCCAGAUGAGGAG